UUUAUUUUACCUUGUUGCUUCGGCGGGCCCGCCUUAACUGGCCGCCGGGGGGCUUACGCCCCCGGGCCCGCGCCCGCCGAAGACACCCUCGAACUCUGUCUGAAGAUUGUAGUCUGAGUGAAAAUAUAAAUUAUUUAAAACUUUCAACAACGGAUCUCUUGGUUCCGGCAUCGAUGAAGAACGCAGCGAAAUGCGAUACGUAAUGUGAAUUGCAAAUUCAGUGAAUCAUCGAGUCUUUGAACGCACAUUGCGCCCCCUGGUAUUCCGGGGGGCAUGCCUGUCCGAGCGUCAUUGCUGCCCUCAAGCACGGCUUGUGUGUUGGGCCCCGUCCUCCGAUCCCGGGGGACGGGCCCGAAAGGCAGCGGCGGCACCGCGUCCGGUCCUCGAGCGUAUGGGGCUUUGUCACCCGCUCUGUAGGCCCGGCCGGCGCUUGCCGAUCAACCCAAAUUUUUAUCCAGGUUGACCUCGGAUCAGGUAGGGAUACCCGCUGAACUUAAGCAUAUCAAUAA
rnacentral:rRNA from 1 species